UCUGAAAUAAUUUUGCAACAAAAACAAUAGUAAAAAAAUGCUGAAAUGACAACUCUACCCCUCGAAUUCCGGCCAAUCUCCGGCAACCCAAAAUCCCCGUUCAUUUUCUUCUUUUUCAGGCAAAACGCCACCACCAAAUGACCCCCAAACAAGUACCUCCAACCCAGCCGUUCUCCUUCUUCCUCACACCGGAGCACAACCCAUCAAGCGAAUUAGCUUCGAGCUCGCUAAAUCCACCAAAUACCCG
rnacentral:lncRNA from 1 species